CUAUAAGAUCUUGGGGGUGCCUCGAAGUGCCUCUAUAAAGGAUAUUAAAAAGGCCUAUAGGAAACUAGCCCUGCAGCUUCAUCCCGACCGGAACCCUGAUGAUCCACAAGCCCAGGAGAAAUUCCAGGAUCUGGGUGCUGCUUAUGAGGUUCUGUCAGAUAGUGAGAAACGGAAACAGUACGAUACUUAUGGUGAAGAAGGAUUAAAAGAUGGUCAUCAGAGCUCCCAUGGAGACAUUUUUUCACACUUCUUUGGGGAUUUUGGUUUCAUGUUUGGAGGAACCCCUCGUCAGCAAGACAGAAAUAUUCCAAGAGGAAGUGAUAUUAUUGUAGAUCUAGAAGUCACUUUGGAAGAAGUAUAUGCAGGAAAUUUUGUGGAAGUAAGUUCAAACAAUAUAGCUGUUCAUAUUGACUCCCAGAACUUGCACUUUUGACUAAAAAUAAGAGGUUUAUAUGUACCUUCUCUGUCUUUUUGAGGGUAAGAGAGAGUGAUCAAAUGCACAAAAUUGAAUUAAUUAUAAUGCUUGGUUCAUGAUACACUGAUGUCAUUGUUUUAUCACCCAGCUUAAGAACUAAGUAAAACAUUACCAUGACUUAAUCUACCUACAUGCUACUUCCCUGUUCCAUUACCCUGCCUCCC
rnacentral:lncRNA from 10 species